rnacentral:misc_RNA from 1 species
GCAAACUUGGUCAUUUAGAGGAAGUAAAAGUCGUAACAAGGUUUCCGUAGGUGAACCUGCGGAAGGAUCAUUAAUGAAAUUUGGGUCGGCUUUGUUAUCUGUGCUGGUGGAGACACAUGUGCACGUUAACAAGGUCGCUUAUCCCCACACCCCCUGUGCAUCUUACGACUCCAAGUCGCCUUUUGACUUGAGAGUACUUUUACACAGUCUUGAAUGUAAUGGAAUGUCUAUUGUGCGUAAUGUACAACAGAAACAACUUUCAACAAUGGAUCUCUUGGCUCUCGCAUCGAUGAAGAACGCAGC